UACGGAGGGCGCUAGCGUUGUUCGGAAUUACUGGGCGUAAAGCGUACGUAGGCGGCUCAGAAAGUCUAGGGUGAAAUCCCAGGGCUCAACCCUGGAACUGCCUUAUAAACUCCUGGUCUUGAGUUCGAGAGAGGUGAGUGGAAUUCCCAGUGUAGAGGUGAAAUUCGUAGAUAUUUGGAGGAACACCAGUGGCGAAGGCGGCUCACUGGCUCGGUACUGACACUGAGGUACGAAAGCGUGGGUAGCAAACAGG
rnacentral:misc_RNA from 1 species